GCCGAAACUGCUGGCACCCUGCCUCGUACCCCAGGAUCCCUUCAGUUGGUGGGUUCCCCAUGCCCACCCCCUUGGCCUCUUUCCUAUGUCCUGGAUAAAGGAGACUCAGAGAACCACCUUCCUUCUGCUCCUGGAAGAAGUAUUGUCCCUACAAGGAGCCCAAGGCGAGGAGGGCAGAUGAGGCCCCGAGACAGUGGCGACUCCAGAGGCUGCCCCACUCUUUGGUUCCCGGUCACUUCCAUCAGACCUCUGCUCUACGAUCACUCCUCUUCCUCCGCCUCUGGCCCUCCUGCCUCUCUCCUGUCUCCCUCUUGCCUCUAGGCCUGGGCUGCCAUUUCCUCCCUGCCACCAUGUGAGCCAGCUUGGGCUGGGCUGCUGGAGGAUUGGACCCUGUGUGGAGUGGAGCUUCUAGAAGGAACUUCUGCGCAAAAUACUGUCAUGGGUUGACGCAUCUCUGAGGGACUUCUCUGGUGGGCUAGUGAUGAAGAACCCAUCUUCCAGUGGAAGGCAUGUGGGUUUGGGAUGUGAGAUUCCACGUGUCACAGAGCAACUAGGCCUGCGUGCUGCAACCACUGAGCCUAUGGAUUCUCUAGCUGCAGCCAGAGAAGGCUCCAUGAUCUGCAGCUAGAGAAAAGCCCUAUACCACAACAAAGACCCAGCAUGGGCAAAAAAAAAAAAAAAAAAAAGCAUGUUACAGAACUAACUUCUAUUCAAAACACUGCCAUGUGU
ensembl:lncRNA